CACGAUUUGGCAUCCUCAAAUCAUAACUUACACUGAAAAAAAAAUAUUAGCGUUGUAUACGAAUUGCAUUGGUGAACGCAAAAUUUGCGUGCGACAACAAUUUAUUUACGCUCCAAGUAAAUAAAUUGUGCCUUGACCACAACUAUGUACACUACGGACAAAGUCUUGAAUUCGUGGCGGCGGAAAAUCGGUUGAUUUGGGCCGGGCACCAAUUUAUUUGUGCAGGACGCAAAUAUAUUCGCGCCGUCCGGUAACAAGUUCGUGUCUACCCAUUCCCGUGUCCGUUAAAGAAAAAAUGGCGUCGGGUCGGCCACAGCUUCAUCGUGUCGGAAAAACUGAGGAGACUUCGUGGAAAGAAAUAGUUUUAAUUCAAUAAAUGAGAGCUCUCCUGUUUUGAAAUUGCCGCGAACUAAUAUUUACGCAUAUGAUUGGUGUCCGUGAGCCUUCGACCUUGACUAAAUCCAUCGAUGAACUUGGACAGCUGAACUGUGGCAGUGAGCCUCUAGACAGAGGUUUGAGGUUAGUUCUGAAAUUCAUUAAUUAUUUUCGUCGUGUUCGGACGAUUCUACUGCCGACUGAAUAUCUCAUAUUAUUGUAUGUUUAAUAUCAUCAUCUCUCUGUGCGUUGUCGAUCUUUCUACAAAAGUGCAAUGCUACAAUUAUCUCUCCCAAGACGUUUCGCCAUCCAUCGGAGGUUCAUCGAGAAUUCGGUUCCGGGAUGAAUCGUGCUAUAAAAUGUAUGAUAAAACAAUCCCCCAAACUUUAAAUUAAUCAUGCGGUUUGCUUCUGUGCGGUCAUCGUCUUUAUUCAGUGGUACAGUGAAAAGUUUUUCUAUACGCCAUGCAAUUUAUAAAGAUGAGUUAGUGAAUGAGGAACACGCUUACCUACCACUAUUGGUAUCAUGCAGCCAGAGUAGGCAAUUUUCUAAACAAGACAUUCGUUCAAGGCUGCCGCGGGGGCAAAGCUGUGAUACGCCGCCGACUGUAGUUUUGGGGUGGCGGACGGGGUGUCAGACGGACAAGUUCCGGUUGAAGGACGGUCUGCGCGAUAUCGGCGAUUUCCGUGGGCCUCGGUGGCGUUGGCGACCGCCUGGACCUGCUCCUGCUUAAAGUCCUGACUACUGCUCCACUCAACUGCCUGAUCAAGUUCCCUCCUGCGGACUGCCGGCGAGGAGAUCGCGGGCGUGGAGAUUGGGAACGUGGAGAUUGCGGACGUGGAGAUUGCGGAGGAGACAACUCCUCGACAUUGCAGAGGAAUGAGCAUUUGAGGGUUCUUGAGUUCGGGGGAAAGCCGUCGCGACAUUCCGGGUCCGCUGCCCCUGGGCAAGAUGCCUGUUCCCUUGCCGGGAGACUCCGGAAGACGUCGAACGCACGCCUGCACUUUUGAUUGGCUUCUUGCAGCAGUCCUUCCAUGCCCAUGAAGAUCCCUCGCCCACAGAGGUCGCUCCUGGCCACGCCCCAAAUCACGGCUCGGGGAUUUUCUGCAAUUUGUUGCUCCACUACUCCUUACGGAUUGUUUCUCCGCAUCUGGAAGAAAAUCACGAACAUCAUAGUAAAAUGGAUGGAAUAUAUACGACUCUGCCGUGCCCGUUGUAGUGAGGAGAACCGUAACUGCAAAAAUGACGUUCUGAGGAAAUGGACCUUUAGCGUCCCAGAGUGAAAUUUUAACGACAAAGUUCCAUUUCUGCAGCCCCCCCCCCCCCCGUUUGGAAUCUCGAACAAAAGUAUAUCAUAAUUUCAUGCUAUUUGGUGCCGUAAAUUGAAAAUUGUGUACUGCAAUAUUAAGGGGGGUUGCACUUUUCAAAAUUGGGGGGCUGUAGGAAGGAAGCCCCCCCCACUUCUGAAUUUUCAAAAACAAAGCGUGCCAUAAUUUUGCGCUAUUUUGUGCAGUGUUACCCUCCCCCCCCCCCUUCCCUCUUAAUUUUACAGUACAAGAUGUUUAAUUUACGGCACAAUAUACGAGUAUAGCACAAAAUUAUGAUGUAAAUUUUUCUGGAAAUUCAAAAGGGAGGGGGGAGGAGGAUGUGGAAAUGGAUCGUAUUGAAAAUUCUUCCGUUUCUUGUGAGACUGUCAAAUAUCAACCAGAGGACGUGUAUGAAUACCUUGGGUGAUUGAAAAUUGACCAAUUUUAUUUUCAACUUGAUAAAAAGAGCCUUAUUCAUUUUCAUGUUUAGGUAGCCCCCAAGGUUGCGUUUCGGAACCACAAAAAGUAAAUUUUAAGAUUAGAGACUGGCUGAAAAUGGCCCUAUUUCACUCAAAAAUACAGUUCUCACUGGCUCAUAGGGUUAAGAAUAUCCCUUACGGCUGUGAUCUCUGAAAUAACGUCAAUUUCCGCGCACUUACGGCUUUCUCAUAAAUAUCGUUUGAAUGCAAAUAAAACGAAUUUUGCUUUUUUAGUGAUUUCACCUGAAAGAAAUUAGACGAAUUUUGAAGGAUACUCGAUUUAGGAAAUUUAUUGCCAUAUACCGCUCAGUGGCGUGGCGUGCUUUGCGAUCUAUCGAUAUUUCCCUAUUUGAAGCUGUGGUAAACAAUCGAUUAUUAAGGUGUUCGGUGCGAACACCCUGUUUAUCGAUCCUUUUCCAUAGGUUUAAAUGGCAGACCAUUCGAUGUAUCGCAGAGCACGCCACGCCACUGCUAUCACGGCAGAGCGGCACUAGCGGACAAAUCUCAUGAAUGCAUAUAGUCGCUCUCAAAUUGAUUCAAAAGUUUUAGGGGAUUUAUGUCGAUCGAAUCGACACCGGUUUUUCAAUAAUUUGUCUAUCGAAUCGGUGUCGAUCGAUUCACGUUUUCAUUUUUCGAUCGAUUCAUGUCGAUCGAAUCCAUACCCUCCAUUUGGGCUUACCACGAGGCUUCUGUGGACCUGAAAAAAUCCUUUUGAGAGGAAUUCAUACCAUCGGAUGAGAAAUAACUGGAGCGCGUUUAGCAGAAAGGAACCAAGCCACAUCAGCUAUUGCCAAAUUUAAGCGGGCACUUUAAUUUUUUACGAGGAAACGUUUGUGCGGAUUUUUUUGAAAAUUUUAAGGAAUUCGCUUCGCACUACGAAGAAAAUUCUCUGAAAUUUACAUGAAAAUCUGCGCAAGCGUUUUCAUGUAAAAAAUUAAAUUGCCCAGUUAAAUUUGGCAAUAGCUGAUGUGGCUUGGUUCCUUUCUGUUUAGCGCAGUCCAAAUGACCGUUACAAAAAGUGUGUGAUGUUCGGCAAACAUAUACAUCAAGUUUAUUUGGAACUCAUUUUAUAAGUCGAAUUUUAGAAAAUUACUAUCUCGUGUAGAAUUCUGUUUUUUGUGUUAGUAUUGUGCUGGUUAUGUGUACGAUAAAUUACAGAUCAGUACUCACCGCAGUCACAUCUUGAAUACACAUGAGAAGAGGAGGCACCCACAAUAAAUGUAAAAUACACCACAACUGAAUCAUUUUUGGACAAAAUAAUACAUGAUCCGGGAAUGAUAAUUAUUUAAAUUGAUUUGUGAAGAGGAUAAUCUGUGAUCGACGAAUCGAAACUAGAGGACUCAGGGAAGUUAUACCUGAACCUGAACGCCU
rnacentral:lncRNA from 1 species